rnacentral:snoRNA from 1 species
AGCCUCUCACCUCGGCCUCCCAAAGUGCUGGGAUUACAGACUGAGCCACCAUGCCUGGCCUGGACCUUUUUCUUAAUGUCCAGCAUCCUUUGUCUUAAGAUUUGGUGGACUAUGU